rnacentral:tRNA from 1 species
GCCCUGGUGGCGAAAUUGGUAGACGCGCCGGAUUCAAAAUCCGGUUCCGCAAGGAGUGCCGGUUCGAUUCCGGCCUGGGGCACCA